CGUAGAGCCCUGCGGCCGAGCGGCGGCACUGCUAUCAGCGCCACAAUCGGCUGGUCAGACACGAUAAUGUCUUCAGCAUAAAUACAAGAUCAAGAUUUUUUUUUCGAUGUUGGGAUUUGGACCCGUACCCUCAUGCUCCGAAAAUUUCUCAUUGUUGAAUCGAUAAUCUGGGUAGGAAGUGAACCAGAAAGGAGACAUCUGCGUGCUACUUGCGGCGUUGCCUGCCUGUGACAGAAUGCAUCUUCAGUGGACCACCGCGUAGAAAGAUGUCGGGAGAAACUUUUGUCCACCCCCGAACUUGAAGAUGUCACUCUGGACACCGACAGGGGUCAUCAAGCCGAAGACUACGAGGAUUGCAUGCUGAUGAAGCUGGGUCUGACCGUGCGCGAAGCCGUGGUUUGGUGUGAACACAAGGGGUCAGUGGCGAGAAAAAUGGCACUCUGCUACGAGUAUCUACUAAGGCUGAAUGCACCUCACAUAUCUGACCACCUCGUUGUGAAGGUUAUAGACAAUUUUCAGAUCUGCUUGGAGAAAGGACCGAUAGCUGUCCCGUCACACAGUGAUGAGAACAACGACAGGCACAACAGCGAAUACGAUCAAGCACGCAGCGAUGAACGCGACUAUGGACCCGACGAUUAUGAGUCCAAUUCACGAAUCUAUUACCCCAGACGCGAGCACGGCCUCGGAAAUGAAAGCGCCACUGUAAGUCCAGCAUUGCACCGGCCCAGCACACAGCCUGCAAAUAUUGGACAUGCAUGAGUCUACGAAAAGCUCGCGCAGAGCUGAACAGCACUUUUGUGACCAGCUUAGAGGGCGUCAUAAUUCUGCCCUGUGUGUGUUCGUGCGCUCGAGGAGAACAAUAAAAUGCAAUCACUACUUCGUGAACGCUCCACUUUAAGG